rnacentral:sRNA from 1 species
UGCCAAGCGGCAGGAAGAAUUAAGGAAACGACAAGGAGACGCUCGGCUCUCUCCCGCUUGGCUCCUUGCGUCCUCCUCUUCCCUUCGCUCCGGCCCGGUGAAACUGAACUUAUAAUCGUCACUGGAUUAUGGAGUCUCGCACUGUCGCCCAGGCUGGAAUGCAAUGGCACGAUCUCAGCUCACUGAAACCUCCGCCUCCUGAAUUCAACCAAUUCUUCUGCCUCAGCCUCCUGAGUAACUGGGAUUACAGGCCCUCGAUUGAUUAAAUGGUGCCCAGCCACGCUGGAUGAGGCCUGAUCUUCCUUACUCAACCUACGGAUUCCAAUGUCAAUCUGUUCUGGACUACCCUCACAGAUAUAUCCAAAAUUAAUGCUUUACCAGCUACCUGAGUAUCCUUAACCCAGUCAAAUUGACCCAUAAAGUUAACCAUCACAUAGUGUUUCUCCAAUGUGUAUUAUCACAUGAGUGGUAAAAUAUGAAGAAUAAAUGAAGGAUUUUUCAUAUUGUUUACAAUUAU